UACGGGGGGGGUAAGCGUUGUUCGGAAUUGCUGGGCGUAAAGGGCGUGUAGGCGGGAAGGAAAGUCAGAUGUGAAAUCCCCAGGCUCAACCUGGGAACUGCAUUUGAAACUCCCUUUCUUGAGUACCGGAGAGGAAAGUGGAAUUCCUGGUGUAGAGGUGAAAUUCGUAGAUAUCAGGAGGAACACCAGUGGCGAAGGCGGCUUUCUGGACGGUAACUGACGCUGAGACGCGAAAGCGUGGGGAGCAAACAGG
rnacentral:rRNA from 1 species